rnacentral:snRNA from 1 species
AUGUUCACUUAAGCAGCACAUAUACUGAAAAUGCAAUGGAACAAAGAAGAUUAACAUGGCCAUGCAUGAGGAUGACAUGCAAAUUCCUGAAGUGUUACAUAUUUUU